rnacentral:rRNA from 1 species
AUUGAACGCUGGCGGCAGGCCUAACACAUGCAAGUCGAGCGGAUGACGGGAGCUUGCUCCUUGAUUCAGCGGCGGACGGGUGAGUAAUGCCUAGGAAUCUGCCUGGUAGUGGGGGACAACGUUUCGAAAGGAACGCUAAUACCGCAUACGUCCUACGGGAGAAAGCAGGGGACCUUCGGGCCUUGCGCUAUCAGAUGAGCCUAGGUCGGAUUAGCUAGUAGGUGAGGUAAUGGCUCACCUAGGCGACGAUCCGUAACUGGUCUGAGAGGAUGAUCAGUCACACUGGAACUGAGACACGGUCCAGAGUCCGACGGGAGGCAGCAGUGGGGAAUAUUGGACAAUGGGCGAAAGCCUGAUCCAGCCAUGCCGCGUGUGUGAAGAAGGUCUUCGGAUUGUAAAGCACUUUAAGUUGGGAGGAAGGGCAGUAAGUUAAUACCUUGCUGUUUUGACGUUACCGACAGAAUAAGCACCGGCUAACUCUGUGCCAGCCGCCGCAGUAAUAC